rnacentral:rRNA from 1 species
UACGUAGGGUGCGAGCGUUGCCCGGAUUUAUUGGGCGUAAAGGGCGCGUAGGCGGCCACGCACGUCCGGUGUGAAAUCGCCCGGCUCAACUGGGCGGGGUCGGCGGAUACGGCGUGGCUGGAGCAAGCUAGGGGGCAAUGGAAUUCCCGGUGUAGUGGUGGAAUGCGUAGAUAUCGGGAGGAACACCAGUGGCGAAGGCGGUUGCCUGGAGCUUUGCUGACGCUGAGGCGCGAAAGCGUGGGGAGCGAUCCGG